rnacentral:rRNA from 1 species
UACGAAGGGGGCUAGCGUUGUUCGGAAUUACUGGGCGUAAAGCGCACGUAGGCGGAUAUUUAAGUCAGGGGUGAAAUCCCGGGGCUCAACCCCGGAACUGCCUUUGAUACUGGGUAUCUUGAGUUCGGAAGAGGUGAGUGGAAAUUGCGAGUGUAGAGGUGAAAUUCGUAGAUAUUCGCAGGAACACCAGUGGCGAAGGCGGCUCACUGGUCCGAUACUGACGCUGAGGUGCGAAAGCGUGGGGAGCAAACAGG